UACGUAGGGUGCAAGCGUUGUCCGGAAUUAUUGGGCGUAAAGAGCUCGUAGGCGGUCUGUCGCGUCGGCUGUGAAAACCCGGGGCUCAACUGCGGGCUGGCAGUCGAUACGGGCAGGCUGGAGUUCGGUAGGGGAGACUGGAAUUCCUGGUGUAGCGGUGAAAUGCGCAGAUAUCAGGAGGAACACCUAUGGCGAAGGCAGCACUCUGGGACGGUACUGACGCUGAGACGCGAAAGCGUGGGGAGCGAACAGG
rnacentral:rRNA from 1 species